CACGUAGGCCCCAAGCGUUGUCCGGAUUUAUUGGGCGUAAAGAGCUCGUAGGCGGUUCGAUAAGUCGGGUGUGAAAUCUUUGGGCUUAACCCAAAGCGUGCAUUCGAUACUGUUGUGACUAGAGUUCGGUAGGGGAGUGGGGAAUUCCUAGUGUAGCGGUGAAAUGCGCAGAUAUUAGGAGGAACACCGGUGGCGAAGGCGCCACUCUGGGCCGAAACUGACGCUGAGGAGCGAAAGCGUGGGUAGCAAA
rnacentral:rRNA from 1 species